rnacentral:rRNA from 1 species
GACAGAGGGUGCAAACGUUGUUCGGAAUUACUGGGCGUAAAGCGCGUGUAGGCUGCCUCGCAAGUCGGAUGUGAAAGCCCUGGGCUCAACCUAGGAAGUGCAUUCGAAACUGCGAGGCUGGAGUCCUGGAGAGGAAAGCGGAAUUCUCGGUGUAGAGGUGAAAUUCGAUAGAUAUCGAGAGGAACGAACCGGUGGCCGGAAGGCGGCUUAGCCUCGGGUCCAGC